CCUUAUUUUAAUUAUUGCAAGAUACAGUAGAUAGGCAGCUAAUAGUAGUCUCACCCAGCUCCACUUUCCACUUGGAAAAAUGUCCCAGAAGAAUGCAGACCUUCAAUAUAUUUAUAUGAGGCUUUGAUUAAUAAUCCACCAAGUCUUGUGAUCCAAGGGACUGAGGGAGCUCUUGAAACUGUUGAGUGCUUUCAUUAAUUUAAAGUCCCCAAGCGCUGUACAAACAGUCAAUGUUACCAGAAGGCCAGUCCCAGCUGAGUGUCCAAGUGGUUUUAUAUUUCAUUUUGAAGGUGAACUGGUUUCGUGUCAGGAGCUCUUGAGUGGUGAGGCCAUUUGAGGAUUGGGUUUGAGGCCUGGGCCUGGAUUUCAUGGGUGUUGUGGCGACCCCUGAGGAAGUUUUUAUUUUACUUAGAGAUACAGUGCAGAACAGAUCCUUCCGGCCUUUGAGCCCCACCACCAGCAAUCUCCCAGUUUAGCUCUUGCUUAAUCACAGGACAAUUUACAAUGUCCAACUAACCUGUUAACUGGUACGUCUUUGGAUUGUGGCAGGAAACUAGAGCACCUGGAGAAAACGCACUAUGCACGCAGGAAGGAAUGGAAGCAGAACUGAACUCUGAUGCUUCGAGCUGUAGUGGCGUCACACUGACUGCUACGGUACCGUGGCGUUCUGAAGCUCACCCAUGACUCGGGGUUUGCUCCCUGGAUCCACACCUGCCUGGAGUUGCUGCGGCCGGAAAGGGCAUGCCAAGGAGUUAUCUGGUGACAAUCUCAUUAUUGUACGGGACAGCCUUGAGGAACAGGGACCUCUGCUAUUCUUCACAGAGAAGACUAACCUCGGAAGAGAAAACAUUUAAAUCAAUAGUAAAGAGGGCGCAGCAAAAAUGUAUUAAGCUAAAAGGAGUUAUGCUUCUGGAAGAAGAUGGUGCUGGUGAACUACAUGACCAAGGACAACAUCUUCCAGAUGGUUCACAAAACUACUUCUUUCACUUCUUUUCCAUCUUCUUUUUCUUUCAAAGUUGGCUCUGCUACUGUUGGAACCUGGGAUCUACAUGCCGGUGUUGUGUUUUUUUGGACUGAUUGAGCGAUGCUCAGCCGUCUCCGAGGGCGCUUCGAGCGAAGCGUGUGGCCUUGAGGCCAAGAAGCCUGGAGAUGGGGCACCAGCCCAUGAUCGACUCUAUUUCUCGCCAAUUAAAGCCGAGGAAGAUUGAAAUCAUCAAGGCGAGUAGAUGUUCAGUGCCGUGCGGCAGUCUCUCGCUCGCUGCUCCCGGAGGGAGGUCCCUGCAUUCAAAUGGCCUCUCUCUCCAUCAGUGCUGUCGGAGGCUGGUACCGAGUCCUGGGUGUCGGGUGAGGGUUAGCUGACAUGGUUUGUGGAUUGGUCUCUGUAGAUCACGUUGUCAUGGUUUCCGGUCACUCCUUUUUUGUGUUGCUAUUUUGAGCAACUUUGAGUCGAGGCAGUCAACAGAUAACGAACACUGAGCUGAACUGAAUAUGCCUGGACCCUUUCCAUUUUGUGUUUUAUAUCCUGCGUUUUCCUCUUCUUUGGUGUCACUUGUGCUGGGGCGGGUGAGCUGGGUGGGAGGGAGGAAAGGGUCUUGCUCUGCUAAACAAUGUGGACAUGCGAUGUUGGGACCGGAACGUGCGGUGACAAUUGCAGCACAUCCUUGGGUUGCCAUGGUCGUUAACGGCAACGGCACAUUUCUCUGUACGCUUAUUCUUAUGAUAAAUGAAUGAAUCUGAAUCUGAGUAACAGAGUUUCCUGUGAUUACAGUACACCACAAAUUAAUAAUAAGUUGCGAACAUGUAGUUCCAAUGGUUAGCUAAGUCAGUCUCCAGCAAGGCCCUAGGAACUAUAAGAGGAAAGGAUUUUAAUUAUGUAGACGAUAUGAGAUAUUCUCCCUGAAAUGAAAUAGAAGCAAAUAAAUAUUUGAAAAGAAAAAUGUUAAAGGUUAUGUGAGGAAGAGAAAUAGAUGAUAAAGUGAAUUCAAUAUUUCAGGAGCUGUGGUGAGAGGCUGUAAACCUUUAUGGUUUAUAUUUCAAUCUUCGUGUUCUAACCACUCUCCUGGAAAACAUAGAGUCAUGCAGUCAUCGGGCUCCACAGCACAAAAGAAGGCCCUUUGGCCCAUCUAGUCCAUGCUGGACCGUUGUUCUGCCUCAUCCCAUCGACCUGCACCCUGACCAUAGCCCUCCGUACCCUUCCCAUCCAUGUACCUAUCCAAACUUCUCUGGAAUGCUGAAACCAAACCUGAAUCCUCCACUUCCGCGGGCUAUUUUUUACCACACUCCCACCACCCUCUGAGUGAAGUAGUUCUCCUUCAUGUUCCCACUAAAUAUUUCACUUUUCACCCAUAACCCGUGUCCUCCAGUUCUAGUCUGACCAAACCUCAGUGGAGGUCGGGAGAACACACAUCAGCGGCCAUUGUGAACAGCAUCAGACUCUCCGGGGAAUACGCACUAACUGCUGCAGGAACUCGACAUGUCAGGAAGCAUCUAUACAGUCGACAGUUCAGGACAAGAACCUUCAUCAGGGUCAGGAAUUUCUGAAGGGCCUCUUUCCUUACUGUAUAGGAGUGGUUCAAUAGGGCACCUGAGCAGCAUUUUCUCAAGGAGUAAGGAAGCACAGAAGCCUGGUCAUAAAGAGAGCCAGUAAGAAAACAGGUGCUUCAGAGGACUGAUUCCUCACUGACCAUCAAGCACCCAUGGUCAGUGAUAAUAUUGUGCUGUGUGUCGUGCAUCAUGGUCCAGAGGAACAAUCCUACAUUCAUCUCCUUUUUCAGUCUCCCCACAUUCUUGUUCAAUGCUCAAGUUAAACUCACUAUCAAAGUACGUGUUUGUCACCAUAUAAAGCCCUGAGAUUCAUUUGCUUGUGGGCAUUCA